UCUCCUAUCCCAAAUCCAAGCAACCUAGUCAUUCCAUUUGUCUUCAGUCUAGGCUUUGGAAUAUUAUACUGCUUCAACCAAGCAUACAUAAUAAAGACCUUCUUCAUGAUAAACAACUCCAAUGCCUGAGGAUUAGAAACAACACUCAUUUCAUAUUCAUCUAUCAAAUAGACAAUUUCAGAAGCUAGGCGAAUAAUCAUGCAUGUUAGGCUACCAAAUCAUAUACAUAUGCCCUCAUCCAUUGUCUAUCACCUAGUGAGGGACUAACA
rnacentral:misc_RNA from 1 species